GGGAGAGAGGGAGACCGAGGGAGAGCGCGCAGAGAGGGAGAAUGUGUCUGCGUUCUGAUUUCAAGUGAAGACCCUCGCCGCUGCGCCCGCACAGACAUCUACGCUUGACAUUCCCAGCUCCAAAAGCCAAAAGGAAAGAAACAAGAAAAGAAAAAACAGUGAAAGCCGGGACUGUCACCUAUUUACUUAGCUUCUCCCCUGCGUUCUUCGGGCGAAUCGGAGAGGCGGACGCUGCGCGGGGCAAAGUUUGUCCCACCCGCAUUUCGCAGCUGGCUGCGAGGAGAGGAGGAGGAGCGGGAAGUAGAGCUCGGAGCCUGCGGCCGCGAGGAAGACUGAGCCAGCGCCGCGCUUACCUCGCAGUCCUCGUACUUGAUAUUAUCCGUCAGUUUCCAAAGCAUUUUCAUGGAUCGGCGUGAAUGGAUUUGCCCCCUCUCCACCUCGCACCCAAGUGGAGCUACUCUGGCCUAAUCGCCUCAUUAGCAUAUCAACAAUAGUCCAAUUGCUCGCCAGCACCACAAUCUGCCGCCGGCCGCUCAGACCCAGGUAUAAAGGCCUCUCCGAGCCGCGAACUUGCUCCUAGAGCGCACGCCUGCCGGUGAGCCCACGAAAUCUCCCCUGAGCCCCGCCGCGCGCCUCUGCCCAGCGCCCCCGCCCCCAGGCCACCUCUCCUCUCCGUCUCCUCCUCGCCGGAGAUGCCCCGGCAAAAGCCCGGAGCUGAGCAGGAUCCGAGCGGCCGCACCUGGGACCCGACUAUCAGCACCUCUGCCCCAUCCCUGCCUCCAUAAGCGACUCUGUCCUUCCGGCCCCGUCCAAUUUUAUUAGAAAUUAUCCCUUUCGCAAUUAAACAUAACCACCACGCCGAGACCAGCGAAGUCACUCCAGGAUUUUUGCCCAACAAGGGAUCGCCUCCGCUCGCGGCAGCCGACACCUCCGGCCGCAGCUCCCUGGGAGUUUUAUUGGCUUCACGCUUUCCCCCCAGGUUGGAGAUUUUGCCAAACGGCUUCAGUGGCUCGGCUGGGGUUUGCGAUCCUUUAAUUGCUGCAUGUAAAAUAAAAGGUGUACCCUGAAGAGGUUACUUGACAGCUCCAGGUGUUAAAUGAGUUUCCUCUCAUUUGUAUGAAGGUAGGGCCGCCUGAUAAUUCAGCGUGGUACUUGGGCUAAGGGUUUUCUAGGUGCGACGUGGACAAGAAUAUAGAACUCCUAUCGAGACUCACAGCCGCUUCUGGAGUUGAGCCGAAGUACCGACGUGUGUGCGCCAUGUCAUGCAUGCAUCAAAAUAAAUCGCUGGGAACCAACCCUUCGCUGUGUUAAUCUGCUCCAGUUUUCCCAAGAUUCCCCUUUUUAAUUAAAGCAGGGAGAGUUCCUUCAUGAUUUGGUGCUGUUACUAACGCGGGCGCGCUCGCGGCGCAGUGCCCGGCUGGCGCGGAACCCGGAGGCCCGGGAGCCGCCCCCCGGUCCAGAUCCGCCAGUCCAGGCUCUCCCGCUCCACUCAGGGGCCUGCUCGCCCCACCGGGGCAUUAUAUAUUUUUCUUCUGUAAAACAGAAUUUUUUAAGAAAGAAAGAAAAAAAGAUGUGAUGUGAUCCUUGGAAAUAUAGAGUAAUUGAU